rnacentral:rRNA from 1 species
UACGUAGGGGGCAAGCGUUGUCCGGAAUCAUUGGGCGUAAAGAGCGUGUAGGCGGUUCGGUAAGUCUGCUGUGAAAGUCCAGGGCUCAACCCUGGGAUGCCGGUGGAUACUGCUGGACUAGAGUGCGGAAGAGGCGAGUGGAAUUCCCGGUGUAGCGGUGAAAUGCGCAGAUAUCGGGAGGAACACCAAUUGCGAAGGCAGCUCGCUGGGACGUUACUGACGCUGAGACGCGAAAGCGUGGGGAGCAAACAGG